CAUAAUUCUUCUGGCUUGGAGUAUUCUUUCUUCUUAGAUAAUUGCAAACAGCACAGGUUGCCAUUUUCUCUCAAACAUGGAUGUACUCCCUCAUUUUGGGUAAGGAAUAUGUCUGCAGUGUGAAAAUUCGGUUCUGUCUGACUGUAUUUACUUGCUGGACUACUUGGGUUGCCUCCCCACUUUCUGUGCAGAGGAGAGAAAGGAAAACAGCAGAACAUGGAUGUGAAC